rnacentral:antisense_RNA from 1 species
CUUCACCGAGCCCAGCAGCACCGGCCGGCCGUCCUCACGGCCCUGGCCGUACGUCGCCAGCAGCGCCUGCGCCUC